UCCCGUGUGGUUUAGUGGCUAGGAUUUUCUGGCUUUCACCCACACGGCCCGGGUUCGAUUCCCGGCACGGGAA
rnacentral:tRNA from 1 species